rnacentral:rRNA from 1 species
UUGGGCGUAAAGCGUCCGCAGGCGGCUUUUCAAGUCUGCUGUUAAAGCGUGGAGCUUAACUCCAUCAUGGCAGUGGAAACUGAAAGGCUUGAGUAUGGUAGGGGCAGAGGGAAUUCCCGGUGUAGCGGUGAAAUGCGUAGAUAUCGGGAAGAACACCAGUGGCGAAGGCGCUCUGCUGGGCCAUUACUGACGCUCAUGGACGAAAGCCAGGGGAGCGAAAGGGAUUAGAUACCCCUGUAGUCCUGGCCGUAAACGAUGAACACUAGGUGUCGGGGGAAUCGACCCCUUCGGUGUCGUAGCUAACGCGUUAAGUGUUCCGCCUGGGGAGUACGCACGCAAGUGUGAAACUCAAAGGAAUUGACGGGGGCCCGCACAAGCGGUGGAGUAUGUGGUUUAAUUCGAUGCAACGCGAAGAACCUUACCAGGGUUUGACAUCCUGCGAACCUCUUAGAAAUUUGAGGGUGCCUUCGGGAAUGCAGUGACAGGUGGUGCAUGGCUGUCGUCAGCUCGUGUCGUGAGAUGUUGGGUUAAGUCCCGCAACGAGCGCAACCCACGUUUUUAGUUGCCAGCAUUUAGUUGGGCACUCUAGAAAGACCGCCGGUGAUAAACCGGAGGAAGGUGUGGAUGACGUCAAGUCAUCAUGCCCCUUACACCCUGGGCUACACACGUACUACAAUGCUACGGACAAAGGGCAGCAAACUCGCGAGAGCUAGCAAAUCCCAUAAACCGUGGCUCAGUUCAGAUCGUAGGCUGCAACUCGCCUACGUGAAGUAGGAAUCGCUAGUAAUCGCAGGU